rnacentral:lncRNA from 1 species
UAAAAAAAAAUCUAAAGAAAGGAAUCUUUAGCUAUCUCAACAUCAAAAAGAAAAAAGCUGAGGUUUUCAAGAAUGUGUGCACACGUGCAGUGUGUAUGUGCAUGUUUGUGAUUUAUUGAGGGCUAAAAAGAGAGCUGAUAUUCCCUCUAUAUACACUAAACUUAUAACCACUCUCACCUCUAACCUAGGACCAACACUACACAACACACACACAUCCCACUCAUAUAUUCAUACAAAGUGUACUGAGUCCAUCUGAUGAACUAAUCUAAUGAUAGAUUUGAUAUCUAAUCCUCACAACUACAUUGCAAGGUAUAUACUAUUUUCUCUACUUUAUAGAAGAUGAAACUGAGCCCCUGAAGGCCUAAGGUCCGGCAACAUGUAAUAAAAGGAAGCUAGAAUUGGAACCCUGGUGUGUUCAAUUCCGAAACCAGCCCUUCUUCCACUACUCCUUCCUCAAAAGGCCUUCUAAGUCGUCACUCUCCUAGCACUGGUUACAAGAAAUGUCGGUGGGAGUGGUUGUUUUACGAUAAACCACUCUGAUAAAAAAAAUGCUCCAAUGAUUAUUUUUGAGAUGUCAGAGCUGAAAAUGUACAGAUUUCACUGGACGAAGAACCUGCCAAGUGGUGAUUGCACAACCAAAGCACUGCAAGGAACCAAGGAGGCCAAAUGUGUGUUGGAAAAAUCACAGAUGUCAUCUGGGAAUGCUCAGAGCCUUGGGCUUUCACGCUGAGACAGACUCGCUUCCACCGGAACCUCAGCCUUUUAAGGCUAAAUCAAGGCCGUGACUUCCUCAGCUGAAUCAACCUGACACUGUUCCCUGAGCUCACUGGGAUCCUAUUGGCAGAGCGUCAGCCCCGUCAUGGAAAGAAUGCCUCCACCAGGGAGGACUGGGUUAGUCCCCAUCCUGAACUGGAUCAUAAACACCCACCUUGUCAUAAAGCUGCUGUGAGUCUUACAAUGGGAAGAUGGGGGAGGCAGCACACUGGGGUCAGGAGUGGAGAUACUUAGGCUCCCCAGAGAAAUUAGUCACAAGUCUUAUCCCUUCAUCUCCAUUUACAGCCAUUUAUUUGGGAGCAACAUACUUUAAAUGAGUGAUAAACAAAAUGUCUCCCCACAGCCCCCACCCCAGCAUGUGUUCUGAAGUUCACAGGAAGGCUUCUCCUCAUUUGCUUUGGGGCCCGCAGGCUGCCUGCUAACAGCUGGGUCUUCCCAUGAACAAAUUAGACAGUUAAUGUUCCAGGAUGAAGAGGGCUUCGGGGAACAGAAUCUGCCGUUUAUUUGACUUGCUUCAUUAGACACAGUGCCAUCAUACCAAAAUUAGAAAAAAGAAGGAACUCAGCGGAAAUCAGCUACACAAGAAGAACCUCUCAGUUCUGAGAAUUCACAUUAACCAGUGAUUAAGAAAUAUUAAAAAGGGCUGAUAGUCCACUACGUUAUCAAGUUCAAAGCCUAAGAAAUAUUGAACAUUUCCACACAUGAAUGUGGGUACUAUGUUUAAUUUGAGAAUGGCCAACUGUCCUCGAAGUCUCAAUCUCUUUGGAGCCUACCAGCUCCGAGAGAAGUUUGAGGAUGCUGCAAAACCCUCCCCUGCAAAUCCAUCUACUCCUCCCACUUCUAUCCUAAUGGGUAUAGUUCUUGGCUGUGCUGAGGAUCUGUAAGGCACCAGAUGUGAAAGUAAGGAAGAAAGAUGGAUGUGGAAGAAAGUCACUGCCCAGAGAAUAAGGAGACCUGGAUUCUAAUCUCAGCUCUGCCAUUAACUAGCUGUGAGACUCAAGAAUAACUAAUCAUUUUGAUAACUCGUUUUUUUACUUUUUAAAAUGAGGAGCCAAGUUUAGACAAUGAGCUCGGCUCUUCACCAGUGAUAAAGUGUCUGGGACAUGCUUCCAUUCAAGCAAUGCUCUUCCUUCUUGUCUAUACUUUAUCCAAGAAAGAAUAAAUCAUUUCCAAAUAUUUUCAAAGAUGAAACUAUGGCUCAAAAGGGAAUAAGAGAUCAAGGCAAGCAUGGACAUCUUGUACGUGGAAGUGCAGACCAGAACUUGUAUCACAGCCAGUCAUAUCUGGUGCUUUCCAUGCUACUUUUACAUACAUGUAUCCUUAAAUUUGAUCCUCUUCUAGUUUAGUCUAAACUCUUUACUUUGUAACUUCCAAACCUAAAAGGUGCAGCAGACAUUGACAAUCUUAAUUCAUUUGUCAGGUCAUUUGGUUUCUUGGUUUCCUAAGGGACUGUAUCCUUCCUGCCCUGCUAAUGGGGAGACUUUUUGUUUUUUGUUUUCUGUUUUCCUUAAUAAGUGAGGCCAAGUGCUGUGUGUAACUGUGGGGUGGGCAAAAUUAGGAUUCCUGAAUCACUUCACUUUUUGUUGCCUUUCUCUUGGGAGAAUGGUUACCAUUGCAGAGAAGCAUAGUUAAAAUUGCUUUUGUGUUUCAUAAACGAAUUCAUACUUAGAUGUCAUUGACCAACAACUAAAUAGUAUAUCAGAGAUGAAAGGCAUCCUAGAGAUGACCAAAUCAAGCUCUUCAUUACUCAAAGGAGAAAAAAAUCCAGAAAGUGGAUGACAUAUGUUGAACUAGUGAUGGAAGUAGAACAGGGUAGUGUAUUUUCUGCCUCUUAAUUCUUCAUUUUUUACACUAAACCAGAUAUUAGGUAUAUGACUAGGAAGAUACGUGAGGUAAGGAGCAGAGGGUUUGGCUCCAAACUCAUCAUGUAGUCAUCCUCCUCCAAGCUCUGAGAGCUUCUCUCACAUGUUAAUUCAGAGGCAGUAACAAAAGAAUUAAUGCUCCUGAAGGUUUCUCAAUUUUAUCAUCUGGAAAGUGGAGUGAACCUUUGCAGAGUCCUUCUGAAGAGGGCUGACCUUGGACUGCACUAGGUUAUAUUCAUUUGCUAUUACUCAGCAAUAAAAAGUAAAUGCAACAAUAUAAAUGAAUCUUAAAAACAUAAUAUGGAAAGAAAGCAGCCAGACACAAAAGAAUACCUCCUGUUUGGUUUCAUUACCAUAAAACCUAGAACAGACAAAUGAAUAUACUAUGAUUUUAAAAAGAUCAUUAUGAUCAGAAAGCACUUGCCUGUUACAGGAAGGAGAUGGGGAUUGACUGGAAAGGGGCAUGAGAAAACUGUAUGAAAUAUUAUAUAUGGUUUAUAUCUUGUUUGGGGGUGGAUACAUAGCUGUGUAUAAUUGUCAACAGUCAUUGAACUGAGCACUUAAAAUCUCUGCAUUUUAGUGUAUGUAAAUUAAUUUUUAAAAUUAUUUUAAAAGAAAAGUAAAAGGAUAGAAAAAGAUAUACCAUGAAAACAGCAAUCAUACAGAGUUGGGGCAGCUAUACUAAUACUAGAUAAAAUAGUCUGUAAGACAAAAACUUAUUAGAGAUGAAGAGGGACAUUUUAAGUGAUGACAAUUUAUUCAAUAAGGAAGAUGUAACAAGAAUAACAAGUAUGUAUGUACCUAAUAACAAAAUCCCAAAAUACGUAAAGCAACAACUGACAAAAUUGAAGGGAAAGAUAGACAAUUCAACAAUAAUAGUUGAGGACUGGAAUACCUCACUUCCAACAAUAAAGAGAAAAACUGGGCAGAAAACCAACUGGGAUACAGAGACUUGAAAAACAUUGUAAACCAAGUAGAAUCAACACACAUCUAUAGAAAACUCCACCCAACAACAGCAGAAAAUACAUUCUUCUGAAGUGCAUACGGAACAUUCCACAGAAAUAUAUGAUGUGCUAGGCCAUAAAAUAAGCCACAAUAGAUAAUAAAAGACUGAAAUCAUGUAAAUUAGGCUCUAUGCCCACAGAUUUAGAAAUCAAUAACUAAAAGAAAUGUGGGGAAUACACAAAUAUGUGGAAAUUAAGCAACACGUUCAUAAAUAACCAAUAGGUCAAGGGAAAAAAAUAUCACAAGGAAAAUUAGAAGAUACUUGAGAUGAAUGAAAAUAAAAAUACAGCAUACAAAAAAAACCAUGGGAGGAAGUUAAAGCAGCAUUAGAGCUAAAUUUAUAGCAAUAAAUGCUUAUUUCUUUAAAAAAUAUCUCUAAUAAUCUAACCUUUCAAUUUAUGAAACUAUAAAAGAACAAAUGAAACUGAAAGCAAGCAAAAAGGAGAAAAUAAUAAAAUUUCAGUAGAAAUAAAUGAAAUAAAAAAUAAAAUACAUAAAGCAACAGUUGGUUCUUGAACAAAAUUGACAAAUCUUUAGCGAAACUUUAGCAAAAAAGAAGGAGGACUCAAAUUACUCACAUCAGGCAAGAAAGAAGAAACUUGACUACUAACUUUACAGAUAAAAAGAAUUCAAGGGGGAUAAAACGUAAAAAAAAAAAACCUCUAUUGCUAACAAAUUAAAUAAACUAUAUGAUAUGGACAAAUCCCUAGAAAGACACAAAUUAUUGAAACUAACUCAAGAAAUAGAAAAUCUAAAUAGACCUAUAACAGGUAAAAAGAUUGAAUUAGUAAAUAAAAACUUCCCACAAAGAAAGAUUCAGGCCUAGAUGGCUUCCACUGGUAAAUUCUCCCAAAUAUUUAAAGAAGAAUUAAUACCAAUUGUUUAUAAACUCUUUUAGAAAAUAGAAGAAAGGGGAACUCAUUCUAUGAGUUCACUAUUACCCUGAUACCAAUGCCAGACAAAGGCAUGAGAAAAAGAGAACUGCACACCUUUAUGCAUCCCUAUCCUUUAUGAAUAUAGAUGCAAAACUCCAAGAUGAAUCCUGAAACAAAUAAAAAAUUGUACCACAACUAAGAAAGAUUUCUUCCAAGAAUUCAAGAUUGGUUUAACAUCUGAAAAUCAAUUUAUAUAAUAUGCCACAACAAUAAAGAAAAAAAUCACAAUUACUUCAAUAGAUGCAUAAAAUAAUGGAUAAACUCCAACACUCAUGAUUAAACAAAAAAAGAAGAAAACGCUUAAACCAGGAACAAAAAUUAACUUCCUCAAACUACCAGAAACUUACAGCUAACAUCAUACUAAAUUGUAAAGAAUCAAAUGGUCUUCUUUCACUCUCAGAUGUGAAAAUCUCCUAUGUAGAAAAUCCCAAGGUAUCGACAAAAAACAAAAAAAAAAGCUAUUAGAACUAAUAAAUGGGUUCAGCAAGUUUGCUGGAUACAAGAUCAGUAUAGAAAAAUCGAUUGCAUUUCUAUAUAUUAACAAUGAAAAACCAAAAUAAAAUUAAGAAAAUUCUAUUUAUAAAUAACAUCAAAAGGAAUAAAAUUUUUAGGAAUAGAUUUAACAAUUUAAGUAUAAAAUGUAUAUGCUAAAAACUACAAAACACUGUUGAGUGAUACUGAAGAUUAAAAUAAAUGGAAAGAUACACCAUGCUUAUGAAUUGGAGGAUUUAAUAUCGUUAAGAUGGCAAUACUUCCCAUAUUAAUGUACAAACUUAAUGCAAUUCUUAACAAAACUCUUCUGGUGUUUUUACAGAAAUUCACAAGGUGACCCUAACAUGUAUAUAAAAAUGCAAGGGAUCCAGAAUCACUAUAACAAUCUUGAAAAAGAAUAACAAAGUUGAUGGAUUCACACUUCCCAAUUCCAGAACAUACUACAAAGCGACAGUAAUCAUAAUGGUGUGGUACUGGUAUAGGGAUAAACAUAUUAAUCAACAGAAUAGAAUUAAGAGUCCAGUAAAUCCUCACAUUUAUGUUCAAUCGAUUUUCAGUAAAUAGGCAAGACAAUUCAGUGGGCAAAGAAUAAUCUUUAACAAAUAGUGCUGGACAACUGAAUAUCACAUGCAAAAGAAUGAAUUUGCACCCUGACUUCACAAUAGACACAAAUUAACUCAAAGUGUAUUAUAGAUCUAAAUGUAAGAGCUAAAUUACAAAACUCUUUUCAAAACAACUACAAAAUUCAAUCUUCAUGAUCUCGGAUUAGGGAAUGACUCUUCAAAUUAGACACCUAAAGCACAGGUGAUAAAAGAUGGCUAGGUUGGACUUCAUCAAAAUCAAAAACUUUUCUGCUUCAAGGGAUAUUUUUAAGAAAGUAAAAAGAUAACCCUACAGACUGAGAGAAAAAUUUUGAAAAUUGCAUAUUUAGUAAGAUACUUACACCCAAAAUAUAUACAGAACUCUUACAACUCAAUAAAGACAAACAGCCCAUUUUUUUCCAUGAGCAAAUGAUUUAAAUAGAAAUUUCUCCAAAGAAGACAUAUGAAUGGCCAACCAAUAAGCACGUGAAAAAUGUCAAUAUCAAUAGCUAUCAGGGAAAUGCAAAUCAAAAUCACAAAGAAACCAGGGCAGAGUGCCAGAUGCUCCGUACCUUGAAAAGGUUCAAGGAAACUUGAAAGAUCAGAUGACAUUUUUAGUGUAAUCUACAAGUCACUCUUCAAAUGACUUGAAGAUGACUACCUGAAUAUAUACAAUAAAAGUUGGAAAUAUUCAUAGAUAAUAUAAAAUUGAGACAAAAAAGGUCUAGAAAGACUGCAAUGUCAAGAUAUGUAUCAUCAAUUCCUGUACGCUACAGUUAAAUUUUGUUCUGAGUUUUCUGGUGCCAAGAAAAUAGGAAAGGGGUGGGCAAUACAGUAAGAUACAAAGAAAGCUUUUAUUUCAUGACACUUAAUUCUAAAAGAAUAAUCAGGUGAUAUGAAGCCAAUUUCUACAGAUAUGGUCUCUGUCCUCCAAGAGCUCAUAACUCAGAGAAAAAUAAAUAUGCAAAUGAUUAAAAUCAGUGAGGUAACUGCUAUGAAGGACGUAUGUACAAGCUAUACUGGAGGCAUAAGAGAGAGAGUUACCAUUCAGAUGAGGUGGACUCAUGCUCUGAUGUGGUAACAUAUGAGGUAGAUUGGGUAGGAAGGUAAGGCCAGUAGAGGGUGGGAGAACAUUCCAAGCAUCUGCAGAGAUUAAAAUUACCUAAGACGUUUGAGAAAUUGUAAGUGGUCUGAUAUGGCUGCAGUACUGGAUGUGAAGAUAAAAUUAAUGAUAGCUGAGGGUGGCAGGAAAGCUGGGAUCUUGCCAUGUAUAGCCUUAUAUGUCAUGCCAAGGACUUUGGACUUUAACCUGUAGGCAAGGGGAACCAUUGACUGGCAAGCCCUGAGUAGAGAGUCUAGGCCUUAUAAUGGGAAGUUAGUUUCCAGAGAUAACCUAAAGAAUUCCUGCCUUUAGGUUUAAUUCCAAAAGGGUAGUAAUCCACAACCUAGCACUCCAUAACAGUGAUUUAUAUUGGAAUUACUCUCCAAAUUGGAAGAUAUGGUUAAUCUGGGAUUAUAGGACGUGUAAGCUCAAAGUAAUUUCCAUUGUAACUCGUAUAGCUUUCUACUCAGCCCAUGACAUUCCUACCUGGUUCCAGUUCUUGCAAUUCAAAGAGAACAGGUCAAUGUCAGUGUUAACAUGUGGGUAUGAAAACAGCAAGUACCCGCAUAUGAAUUGGAACUGGGCUCACUGAAGAAAGCAUGUAAUUGGAGUGGGAAUAAAAGCAUCCAACUAUUAUACUUGUGUGUGUACACACACACAUUAGAUAUACUGCUACAGAUAUAGAUAGAUGCCAGGUGUGCUGGUCACUUUGCGAAUCUCAUCACACUUUACCUUCAUGACAAUCCAGAAAGGUAAGUACUAAUCCCACUUCACAGAUCAAGACUAUUCUUACUUACAGAAGUUAACAGUGCUCUCUCACUGGCUGGAUUGGCAUGGAUGCCUAUUUUUGAUAGUAUUUCUAAUCCUUACCACUGAAAGCAUUGGAAUGACACUUCAUGUAUUUUUUUCAGUAGAGAAGUAAUAGAAACUAUUCCCCUUAAAUGGCAGAUGUGAUAUCUCAAGCACAAAAGCUUGGGUGACUCACUCAAGUCAAUAACAACUGUAGGACAGGAGCAUUUCCAGUUGGCCCCGUAUUCCUUCUACUUAGUCUUUUUUGUUCUCAUGUAAAUACAAAGUCAUAAAUUUGUGGGGGUUCAUAUUGGCUUUGUUCCUUUUCCCAUCUAGUUACCACAAGAGACCUUUCACUCUCCCUAGUGACACCAUUCAACCUCUACAUAACCCUACAACAAAUACCCACUUCACUACCAUAUCACAUGGCCAGACCAGUGGUCUUUUCCUUUAAUGUUACAUAGAAUAAUAUUAUUUCUCCAUCAAUUAACUCUGAUUGGAAUCAUGAUUAUCACUAGUUUUAUUCUUCAGGCUUGAUAGAGUACCAGCUGUGUCCAACAAAUGUAACAACAGUGGCUUCCAGCCAAGUGCAACUGAGGUUUUUACAAGAAUAGAUACUUCGUGUAUUCUAAUGACAAAAGCACAUAAAUGAGGACUAAUAUUCUGUCUGUGGCAGAGAGAAAAUCCUCUUGACUUUGAAGAGGUUCAAAGGCCCACACACACAGAAAACUGAGUGCUCUGUCAUGCUAUCUGGAUCAAGGGACUCCCCCAAGGGGCCGGCAUCCCGGCCUUAGAAAGAUGUCUGGGCCCUCAUCACUGAGGCCUUUGAAACCUUGUACCAGAAACCCCCAGGGGUGCCUCUCCAGCCUGCUCCCCUGGAACUUCUCAGGUACCCAUGACACAGCCAGAUAACCAGCCAGUUGUCACCUACCAUCUAGGACAGUCUCUUACUCCUACCUGUCCAUGCAUGCUCACUAAACUUGCCCUGCAGCAGAAGUAUGAAUGACUCUUUAUUAAAAUAGACAGGAAAAACAAUAGUGUCUCAUCUCACACCUGCACUAGGAAAAAAUCCUCUGUCUUCCUCUCUCCCUUCUGGGCCCACUCCCUCCAAGUCAUCUCAGAGCUGCUGCCAGCAGCAUGUAAAAUAUGAAUCUGACUUUUUGACCCAUCUGAUUAAAAACUGAAGUUGGAGCACCUCUGGCAGCAGAUUGAAGUCCAAACCCCUUCAAAAAGUAUUCAAGGGCCUUCACAACCUGAUUUCAACAAUAUCCUGAACAGUUUUCCCAUACACUGGAGCUCUGGCCUUCCCAGGUAACUCACUACCCCCUGAAGAUGUUGUACAUUUUCAUUAUAUAUGAUUUUUGUUACUAUUCAAUUUAUCUAGAAUACAUCACAUCCCCUAUCUCACCUCACUCACCUGACAAACUCCCAAUCAUUCUUUGAGAACUAGCUAAAAUGUUCUCACCCCUCUAAUGCUUUCCCUGACCAUCCCAGGCCAAAUUAACCAGUCCUUCCUCUGUGACUCUGCCUAUUGCACUUAUUCUGAUUUUCCCAGCUCAACAGAUGACAGAGCCAAGACUCAAACCCUGGCCUUCUGACUCCAAGUUCUAAGGUCUUUACUUAACCCCUUGCCUACUGUGCAAUAUUACAAAUGGAAUCAUGCGUCAAUUCUGAAUCCCGACUGGCAGGCCAAUUGUGGGUAGUCAGUAAACUUACAGUGGAUGAAUGAAUGAACAACAACCUGAAGGAAGCUUCUACUAUCCCCACCCACCCCCCACCACACACACACACACACACACACACACACACACACAGAGUUUAUUCUUCGAACUGGAAUUUGUAAAGACAGCUUGGUUUCCCAGAUGCAUCCAACUCAUCAGGUACUACAAAUUCUGUAACCAGGCCCCAAUUUAGGGAUACUACAACUAUGCAUCAUGUAAUCAUGUAGGUCCUCCAGUGAUACUCAUCUUGCUCAUUUGGCCAUGGAUAAAGGAGAAAAGAGAGAGAAGUUCCCUUUCAGCACCCUAACACAUCUCUUAAUACAGCCUCUAAGUCUUUGAGUCCUCCAGGAGCCAGCAGCCAAGUCCAAACUAAAAGCAUCACAUGUUGUUUUGGAGAAAGAAGCCAGGGUGUCCACAGUAAUAUAAAUACAGAGACAGAUAGGACGAGCAGGCCCUAUGGAGAGAGGCCAAGCCUGAGAAAGUCAAAGGGCUUUGAGCUCUGAAUUAUGCUCUGUCAAAGAAAAAAAAAAGUAGAAGAUAAAAGAGAAAGAAUAAACAAACUUCUUCAUUUUUACUUUUCACAAAAAAGUCUCUUCUGGAAGCAGCAAAUAAAAUCUUCCCAACUCACUGGGUGCUGAGUAGAGUGUUAAGACACUAGCCCUUGAAGGAAGAAUGAAUAAGCAAUUCAAAGUGGGCUUUUCUGCCCUAGGCUAAAUCUGAAAUCAUCCAUUUUGCCAGCAGUAUUCUGUCUGCCAACCUACCUGCAAAGAAAGGGGCCAUUUAAAACUUCACAUCCACCCGAGAUGGCUGUUGUACAAAACACACACUCACAGGCUCCCCUCAAAGCCUAGUAAGGAAGAAGGAAGAAGGAAAAAGCAAAGGAAAUAUCUGGCAGCUCCUAGACUUUAGGAAUUCCACAAACAAAGCCAUUGCCAACAUCUAUUUGACAGGAUGUAUAGAGAGUUCAUAAAGUAAGUGUUUAUAGAAAUUCCAAAAUGUUUAAAACUAUCUCUUGAUUUUUGAAGGUCACUGUAAUCUAGUCUAUUGGAGAAUGCUAUUGUAGAGUCUUUGGCUAUUGUUACUUAUACCUGCAUAUAUGAAAUCACCACUCCUAAAAACCACGAAUUAGAAGGCUGAUUUGUUUAAAGAAAUACUGUUGUCCAUGAUGGAAGAAGGAUGCUAACUCACAGAGAGAAUGAUGCUGCCUGUGGAACAGAGUCGGAGCUGGCUUUUAUGGAACCUAUUGUCACUUUGAUUAUACACUGUCUAGGACAGGACUGAGGCCCACAUAAUACCAAGCAUACCACAAAUACGUAAGUUCGCUGUUGAGUUUGUUUCUUUUUAUUGUUUAAGAAAAAAGAAUGCUGGGGUUUGAGUUGUUCUUUUACACCCAGAACACACUACACAUCAGAGAUGUGCUGACACCGUGCUUUUUCUUUUUUAUAUAACAAGAAAAAGUGGCAUAGAGGGAAAAAGAGGUCAAAUUAAACAUCAAGGUAGCUAAAAGGAAAAUUGUGUCCGCUGCUCUAAUAUCACAAUCCCAAGGAGAACUGCAGACAUUUGUCCUCGAGUUCCUCAGGUUGGUAGGCAGAAAUUACAUUAUUUUCCUGAAUAUUCCUACUGUAAAAUAGUCAUGGUACUUCCUGCUGGGAGUGCAAAGAUGAAUAAGAAAUGCCUUCUAAUCUUAGGGGAUUCAUUAGGUAAAGUUCAUCCAGGUGACCAACUACUGCCCUCAUUUUGGCCCCAAGGAUUCCUGCCUUCUGUGCAUCUUUCUCCACCCUUACAUGACUUGAUCUGGCAUCACCUUGUUAAUGCUUCCUUGGAUCUAUAAACCUGACAAUGACCUCUCACCUCUCCCAAGAGGAUUUGCAUAAAUCCAAACACCUAUAGGUGGAUGUCUUCCCAUUGCUUCAAGCAUGAACUAAGCCAGGUACCUUCCUUUGUCAGACUUCCACCCAUCCAAAUGGGCUUCCUUCCAAGUGGCUCCCUUCCCUGCCAUACCAGCUCCACUCUUUUAGUCUCCUACUUUUUACUCCUACUUCUCCUUCAGCCUUUUAUUUCUAUCCUGUCACCAAGUCUUAGCAUCUGUCCCAUCAGCGAUUUUUAGGUCUAUUUCAACUUAGAUCUAUGCCUCACUAACUCACAAAAGAAGAAACUGGCAUCUUUGUCCCUUCCAACUAAUUUUGCAAGAUAUGUUUUCCUAACUUUGCAAGAUAUGUUUUUCUAAAAGCAUUCAUCAUUAUUUUCCUGUUUAUGAAACUUGAUCGAUCUCCCUUUUCUCUGUCUUGUCAAACAUACACCCUUUCAAAACCCUCUAUGGCCUAACCUUUCUCUGGCUAUACAAUGGUAUUUCAACCAAUCCCUAUCAUCCUAGUCUAUUCCAAUCAGGCUGUUACCAUCUCAAUGCCUUUGUUCAAACUGUCCUCCACCUCACCAAAUCAUUGUCCAGGAACAUGAUUCAUUCAGUCAAGUAUUCAGCAAGCAUCCAAUGGACAAGAUACACUAUGCUGGACACCAGGACACAACAGAGAGCACGACAGGCCCAUUUCUUGCCCUCAAGAGUCUUAUAUCUAGUGCUGCAACAAUUAGCCCAUCUCCCAAGAAAAACUUUGAUCCUUUCCUCAUGCUUUAUAUUUUGAAAACCUUGGUAGAGAAAAAGUUUCUUUUAAAAAAAGAAAAACAUUUCUUAACAAGCAAAAGCAAUUAAAGUAAUGUAUUUAAAUUUAAUGUAAAGUAUGUAAAUUGAAUGAAUAUUUAUGUAAAUAUGCAUGUAAAUUUAAAACAUUUUCUAAUCUGGUUGGAAAUGGAUUUCCAAAAAUAAGUAAUAGAAAAGAAACAAUAGAAUGUUAAACUCCUUUAUAGCGUCAUCACCCGCCUCCCCCAGGAAGCUUUAUAAAACAAAAUUAUUUUUAAAAUUCACCCAUUACGGAAUUUUCCUUCUUUAAAUAUCCAUGGUCCUUAGUCCAGUGCUUAGUUAUACUCUUUUGUUUUGUGUAUGAUCGCUUUUGCCCUGUGGACACAUACGCUCUAAAUAGAGACACACAGCUUGGCUCUGUGCUUGUUGUGUAGCCCUGACAAUAAUAAAGCAACGAGCGAGCUUCACAAAUAUGCCACAGUGGAUAUUACGCUCACACAUAAAAACAGACCUGUAUAAUUUAAAACUCAACCUCAGUAAUCCAAAAACCCAGUAUAGCAGGCUUGAACUUCAACAUCCAUCAACAUUUUCAACUAGAAGAAAAUCAGACUCUGUUGAGCCUUCUCGUCAGCCUUUCCUGCCUACAGCCAAGAGGAUGACAGGCAAAAAGAACGGGGUGGAAAAGCAAAGGGCAAUUCACAUGUGAACUAGAUUAUAGAGCCAUUUGUUUCUACCUCUAAAUUUUUAUCAUGCGGGCCUCAAAUAAACUUGUCACCAGACAUCAUGUGGGCUUUUGGACCUAAAACCUCUAGAAGUUUUUGAUAUGACUCUUAGUUUCUGACACAACUAUUUUUAGUGAAAUAACAUUGCCUCUGCUUCUGUGACAUUUCCCAGAACAACAGUUAAUCUGAAAUCAGACAGAGGGAAUUUUAUUUUGAUCUAAACUUUCGCUCAAUGAGAGAGUCAGGGAAAGCCAUAUCCUGUGUGUUCAAGUCCCAUAAUAAAAGCUGCGUAAUUUAAAUGGAGUCAGGUCACACUCUGUUCUUCCUUGAGUCAGCUGCUCACCUAGAUUCAAAAAUAGGGACCAAAAAAGAUAAACUGGCUUGGUUCCUAACUGCUAAUGUGGUCUCUAGGAACUGAAAAACCACAUGAUCCACCCUAACUGAAGCAGAAGAUUACAAAAAGCAGGUCCCGCCUUGACCAUCGCCUCUGUUUCUAAUCCUUUCCCAAAGCUGCCAAGUGCAUCCUGGAAGGGCCACUUAAACUCUCUAAGCGAAAGUCAAAAUAGAAUGGAAAAUUCUGGGAACUCUGACUAUGCAACACCUUGUUGUCAUUCAAAGUUUUCUCUUUAAAAAAAAAUUUUAUUGCUGCUGUUUAGUCAUUUGUAUACCUCUACUGUUACAACUAACAUGUUUGUCCACUGUUGAGUAAGCCAUAGUGCAAACACAGUUUCAAACACCUCACCAACAGUCCAAAAUGUUAAUCUUGGGGCUUAACAAAUGUUAACUACAACCUGGAGAUAUAGUUCCAAUAUCCUUAUAAUUAAAUAGUAAAAUUAUUAUGCUCUUUCCCCAGUCAUGUCUGCACUAUUGUUUCUAAAUGUAUCCACAGGUUGCCAGUAAUGAUGUUUCUGGUGAUCUGGCUCAGAAGGCUGAGCUGAUGAGUGAUCACUCAGAAAUACUGAAUCAGGCAAUGGAAAUUCUGAAUCGGUGGGCUCUGGAGAAGGAACUGAGGGCGAGGUGACUCGGGGCCGGAGGGCUAUUAUGGACUAUGGACAAGCUGAAGGCAUGGGAAGCCUGACCAGUAGAUAGAGGAAUAUGAACUUGGUGGACAGGGAAAAGCAGGGACGUCAUGAACGAAAGACCACAGACCCUCUGUUCUAGUCCAUGGGGCCAGGCUGUGCUCCACUGCCUACUCUUGGAUUCCCCAAAGAAUGCUUUAUGUCCUUAUAAUAAAUCCACCUUUCCAUGGACAAAAAUGAGUGUGUCUCUGUGUCUUCAAACCUGAGAGCUAAAACCAAAAAACAUAACUUAUGAUGCUGUAGAAGAAACUUCUACCCCUUUGUACGCAUGGAGAUGUUUCCCAAAUCUACACAAUGAUAGAAAUAACUUGCUGCGUUAAAAAGUAUAGAUUGUCAAGCUCCUCCUCUGUAGAUUGAGUCCAAAGUUCUGACUUGGGCCCUGAGAAGAUGUUUGUAUUCUUAUAUUCAGGCAAGUUUGGGCCAAAUUCAUUGAAGUGAAUUCUGAGAUCCUUUCAAUUGCAAAGUCAACAAAUACAAACUAAUCAUUCCUCUAUACAUAGGAGUAGUUUAAG